UCAAAGAAGUCUGGUGCUGGCACGACAGAUGUAUACACUCCAAAGCUGUGGUGCUGUAAUGAUUUACUUUUCCUUGCUGAAGGAGAAAUCAUACGUACCUCAGCUUCCAGUUUAGAUGUGGAAACUACUGAAAACCUUCGACAAGGGGAUGACCAUGUACUGGCAGCCAGUUACAACUUAGAUGGCGGAGGAAACAGUCAACAAAUAGGUGAAUUGGCAACUGUGCUACGGAGCAAUGACUCAUCACUGGACAUCCCAUCGCCCCACUCUGUGCCAUCACCUGCACCCAGCGUGACAAAUGCAUCUUCAGUCAACCUUUCGCCAUCGCCUUCCAACCUUUCUG